rnacentral:rRNA from 1 species
GCAGUCGACGGUACAGGAAGCAGCUUGCUGCUUUGCUGACGAGUGGCGGACGGGUGAGUAAUGUCUGGGAAACUGCCCGAUGGAGGGGGAUAACUACUGGAAACGGUAGCUAAUACCGCAUAACGUCGCAAGACCAAAGAGGGGGACCUUCGGGCCUCUUGCCAUCGGAUGUGCCCAGAUGGGAUUAGCUAGUAGGUGGGGUAAAGGCUCACCUAGGCGACGAUCCCUAGCUGGUCUGAGAGGAUGACCAGCCACACUGGAACUGAGACACGGUCCAGACUCCUACGGGAGGCAGCAGUGGGGAAUAUUGCACAAUGGGCGCAAGCCUGAUGCAGCCAUGCCGCGUGUAUGAAGAAGGCCUUCGGGUUGUAAAGUANCUUUCAGCGGGGGGGAAGGGAGUAAAGUUAAUACCUUUGCUCAUUGACGUUACCCGCAGAAGAAGCACCGGCUAACUCCGUGCCAGCAGCCGCGGUAAUACGGAGGGUGCAAGCGUUAAUCGGAAUUACUGGGCGUAAAGCGCACGCAGGCGGUUUGUUAAGUCAGAUGUGAAAUCCCCGGGCUCAACCUGGGAACUGCAUCUGAUACUGGCAAGCUUGAGUCUCGUAGAGGGGGGUAGAAUUCCAGGUGUAGCGGUGAAAUGCGUAGAGAUCUGGAGGAAUACCGGUGGCGAAGGCGGCCCCCUGGACGAAGACUGACGCUC